rnacentral:misc_RNA from 1 species
AAGGAAAAGAAGAAGAAGAAGAGAAGUAGAAGGGAGAGAAUGGCCAGAUUUUUUAGGUUUCUCCGGCAAGGAAAGACCACAGCAAGGGAAAAAGAGAGAGAGUGGUCCGAAAAGCAAGAAAUUAGACAGAGAAAGGGAGAAAGAUGAUGAAUCAGAAAUAGGGGUUGAGUAGGGGCAUCGAUUUUGUCUUCCGUCCAGGAGGAGCUUUUG